UACGUAGGGUGCAAGCGUUGUCCGGAAUUAUUGGGCGUAAAGAGCUCGUAGGCGGUCUGUCGCGUCGGCUGUGAAAACCCGGGGCUCAACCCCGGGCCUGCAGUCGAUACGGGCAGACUAGAGUGUGGUAGGGGAGACUGGAAUUCCUGGUGUAGCGGUGAAAUGCGCAGAUAUCAGGAGGAACACCGGUGGCGAAGGCAGCUCGCUGGAACGGUACUGACGCUGAGGCGCGAAAGCGUGGGGAGCGAACAGG
rnacentral:rRNA from 1 species